GGGGUUAGAUACCCCUGUAGUCUUAGCUGUAAAGGAUGGGUAAUAGGUGUUGCACGUAUAGACCCCUGCAGUGCCGUAUGGUAACGCGUUAAGCAUCCCGCCUGGGGAGUACGCUUGCAAGAGUGAAAAUCAAAGGAAUUGAGCGGGGGCCCGCACAAGCGGUGGAGUAUGUGGUUUAAUUUGAUGCCAACGCGAAGAACCUUACCAGGGCUUGGCAUGUCGCGAAUCCCCACUGGGACUGAAAGAGGGCCCAGAGUGCGUACGGGAGCGCGCACACAGGUGGUGCAUGGCUGUCGUCAGCUAGUGUCGUGAGACUGUUGGGUUAAGUCCCGCAACGAGCGCAACCCACGUUUUUAGAUUGCCAGCAUCUUCAGUUGGGCACUCUUGAGAGACUGCCGGUGACAAACCGGAGGAAGGUUUGGAUGACGUCAAGUCAGCAUGCCCCUUACGUUCUGAGGCUACACACGUACUACGGAAUGCUUCGGACAAAGGGCAGCGUAGCUAGCGAUAGCAAGCCUAUCCCGAAACCCGA
rnacentral:rRNA from 1 species